CCAAAUUUAGAGGUGUUGCAAACCAUUUUAUUUUUCUUUCUUUUCUGUUUAUCGAAAUCCUAAUCUUAUAGAUCCGUUUUGAUUUUCAUCUUAAACUUUACUUGUUAUGGUUUUGUUUUUGUUUACGUUGUAUAAAAGAUGAUGAUGAGGAGUUUCAAGAGAAACUUUGCUUCUGAUUUUGGUGGUGGUAGUGGUUUAGUCAUUUCUGUAUCUUGAGAAACUUUUUGAUUUUAAUUUCAGACAACUCCAAUGAUUUUAUUUUUGAUUUCUUAUAGUUAUAGGGGUCUCAUUUGUUUGAAAUUUUCUAAUGAUUUUUUGUUUUUAGAUCAGAUGAUGUUUUACAGAGAGGAGGAGAAGAACAAGUUGGUUGGUUUUCUAAUAGUUGUUGCUUGAUUGAAUCUGGGUGGAAUAACAUUGCUCCUAAAGGAAUUGCUAAGUAGGAUUUGUCUGAUGAAUGACGUUGUUUUGCUAGUUGUUAGAAUAAAAGAGGGGGCUAAAGUCCAGCUACAAUCUAUGUUGAUGCCCAUGUGUGAAUUCGAUUAGCAUUAUAUGGACGAGGUUCCAACGAACAUGCGCUACUCGGAUAAAACUUGGAGAACUUGAAUUGGAGCUGAUAGAAAUCAACUGGAACAGCGACAUGUUGUAACGUGCAUAUAGGGAGUUUGUUCUGCAACGGGACGAUGAGUUUUUAUACGAAGCCCGAAGUAGUGCUACUACACAGCAAAGAGAAAUUGAGGCACGCCAAUCUGGUGAAGGGUCCUUGGAUAGUCCAUUGUUGUUAGAGCAAUCGGUGUUCGGUAUUUGUAUCUUGCAGCCCAAUGCACUAAUAAGGCCUCUCAAGCUGCUGAAAGUGAAGGAACACGUGGAAAUGUUGCUGGAGGGGUGGGCAGACCUUUCCAAAUCAACCAUUUCAAUCUCUAGCUCAGUCCUUGCAAUUUCGGAUUUCCUUUGACAGGGCCAGCUCCUAUUCCCCAUUCUCUGAGCACACUUUUGGAGUUCAUAAACCACAUGGAGCUGGUUUUGCUACAAGGGCAAGCAAGCGGAUUUUUACAUCAUGAAUAAAUAAGUAAUUGAAGCUAUUCAGAAGGAUGUUGCUGGCUAUGACUGCAAGACUGUUGGUGCGCAGUCAUUAAGUUCAAGCAGUUUGUGAUAAUAGACGGAAACUGGUGGAAUAAAUGUAAAGGUUCUGCUUCUCUUUUUGGCUUGUUUUGAAUUUAUAGAGUAGUGUUCACCUGAGUUUGAGUAAUUAAAUUGUGGAAUUUCGAAUCUGAAUGUAAUUGAAUUCAGUUAAAAAUUGUGUAAUCAACACAAUGAAUUUUUAUUUGAAUUUAUAAAUUCAGGUUUCAUUUUAGUGUCA